rnacentral:lncRNA from 1 species
CACUGAAAACCAAGGCUAAGGGUUCUGUCCUUUCUUUCACGUGUUAAAAUGGUGGCAUCUUUUUAAUGCGCGAGGGAAAACGCAACAACAAUAAUAAAACACUCCUCCCAAAUCCUGAACAUUCAGUUAUGUCCAGAAAAUUGGGAUGAAGAUAGGACUUUGCUUUACCGCUCUGUACUGCGUUCGGGUUUUUUGUUUGUUCGGUUUGUUGUUUGGUUUUUGGUUUAGUUUGGUUCGUUUGUUUUCCAGAAAGGCCGAAAGCCAUCGUGACGUCGAGGCACAAGCUCCACUGUCCUAACAGUAGAGGUCGCAUGGAGUUCGUGAGACGGGCAUUAGCUGCCGCUGGAGCUGUACCCAGCCCACCGUAUUUUCACAAAUUAGCCAGACAAUACGCCUUCUCUUCGCAUCACUACUGGUCCGGCUUCCUGUGGAGAUUUUCAGAUACAAGCAAACAAAACAUUGCAUAACUCUGUGUGCAGCCCUUACCCGGAUGUGUGCAGCUUUAGGGUGUGCUUGCAGGAGGAACAGGAUAUCCAAAUGACCUCCUUGGAAAACAAUGGUUAAGGAGCACUGGGACUCUGACAGGACCUGGGUUCUCUCCGACCCCUUUAUUCCCCAUGCCCACUGCCCCACAUGUGUGUACACAUGUGCUUCUGCUUGUGAGCACGCAGGAGUUCAUUGUAGAGGGCAUCUCCCUUACCUGUUGUCUCUCUUUGAUUUAAAAAAAAAAAAUCUAUUCUUACAAACCCCUAUAUAUACAUGUUGCCUGACUUAAAGUCAGGUCUGGGUUACUGCCAUCAGUCCCAAUGUUCACAGAAAUGGGAAACGAGAGGGGUGGACCAGUGGGGACAACCUGUAACUUGGACUUCUUAGAUCACUCCUGUCCCUCCCAAGACACCUAGGACUCAUCGGGUCUAAUUUAGUCUAGGAGGUGUGUUUCUAGAUGCAUCCCUGGAGUACAGUGAAUGCAAGCCAAGAAAUAAUUUUUUCUUCCCAAUUUCAUGGUCUCAUCCUGACCUACAGCAGAUAAGUAAGGAUGAUUCCAUUUCUGUAUUCUCUCGAGCCCAUCCCCCUCUCCCUGCCGUAGAGUCGGGAGUACCCUUUUUUUUUUUUCUUCUCAAGACAGGGUUUCUCUGUAUCACCCUGGCUGUCCUGGAACUCACUCUAAAGUACCCUCUUAAUUAACCAUGCUUAGAGAGGAAUAAAAGGACAAGACCAGAGUUUCAGCUACCUUGGAUUCUGCACCGACUCAGGAUCACAGUCAGUUUGUGUGAGGUCACCAGUUUAUACCAAACAGGUUUCAAGGGGCCACGGACAGAACUGUCUUGGUCAGAAUCAGCUGAGUCUUGCAGACAUGAUUCUACUCCAGACCGUUUUGUCUCUAGAAGAGAAACUUGCAAACAUUCUGCCUUCCUUUUCUUUUCUUUGGGAAAGUAAAUGCUGUGUUAGAAGUUUGGACCAGAAUUCUCGGACUUCACCAUCUAUGGAUGCUUCGCUUUUGAUGUGUUUGCCUGUUUAUAAUCUAUUUUAUUUAUUUUGGAAG